rnacentral:rRNA from 1 species
GACGAACGCUGGCGGCGUGCCUAAUACAUGCAAGUCGAACGCAGUGGGGACGGGUGAGUAACACGUGGGUAACCUCCCAUCAGAGGGGAUAACACUUGGAAACAGGUGCUAAACCGAUACUGAUUGAUGGACCCGCGGUGCAUUAGCUAGUUGGGGAGGUAACGGCUCACCAAGUCAACGAUGCAUAGCCGGCCUGAGAGGGUGAUCGGCCACACUGGGACUGAGACACGGCCCAGACUCCUACGGGAGGCAGCAGUAGGGAAGCUUCGACAAUGGGCGAAAGUCUGACGGAGCAACGCCGCGUGAGUGAAGAAGGUCUUCGGGUCGUAAAACUCUGUUGUUAGAGAGGCGGUAUCUAACCAAGAAGCCACGGCUAACUACGUGCCAGCAGCCGCGGUAAUUC